AACGAACGCUGGCGGCAUGCCUAACACAUGCAAGUCGAACGAGACCUUCGGGUCUAGUGGCGCACGGGUGCGUAACGCGUGGGAACCUGCCCUUAGGUUCGGAAUAACUCCCCGAAAGGGGUGCUAAUACCGGAUAAUGUCUUCGGACCAAAGAUUUAUCGCCUUUGGAUGGGCCCGCGUUGGAUUAGCUAGUUGGUAGGGUAAAAGCCUACCAAGGCGACGAUCCAUAGCUGGUCUGAGAGGAUGAUCAGCCACACUGGGACUGAGACACGGCCCAGACUACUACGGGAGGCAGCAGUGGGGAAUAUUGGACAAUGGGCGAAAGCCUGAUCCAGCAAUGCCGCGUGAGUGAUGAAGGCCGGAGGGUUGUAAAGCUCUUUUACCCGGGAUGAUAAUGACGGUACCGGGAGAAUAAGCUCCGGCUAACUCCGUG
rnacentral:rRNA from 1 species